GAUGAACGCUGGCGGCGUGCCUAAUACAUGCAAGUCGAGCGAACGGACGAGAAGCUUGCUUCUCUGAUGUUAGCGGCGGACGGGUGAGUAACACGUGGAUAACCUACCUAUAAGACUGGGAUAACUUCGGGAAACCGGAGCUAAUACCGGAUAAUAUUAUGAACCGCAUGGUUCAAAAGUGAAAGACGGUCUUGCUGUCACUUAUAGAUGGAUCCGCGCUGCAUUAGCUAGUUGGUAAGGUAACGGCUUACCAAGGCAACGAUGCAUAGCCGACCUGAGAGGGUGAUCGGCCACACUGGAACUGAGACACGGUCCAGACUCCUACGGGAGGCAGCAGUAGGGAAUCUUCCGCAAUGGGCGAAAGCCUGACGGAGCAACGCCGCGUGAGUGAUGAAGGUCUUCGGAUCGUAAAACUCUGUUAUUAGGGAAGAACAUAUGUGUAAGUAACUGUGCACAUCUUGACGGUACCUAAUCAGAAAGCCACGGCUAACUACGU
rnacentral:rRNA from 1 species